rnacentral:lncRNA from 1 species
AAGAAAUUUAAAUUACAUUGGGAUUCUCUAAUCGGCUGCCCUUUGUUGACCAUUUUAUUAAGUGGCAUAAUUCGAUCUGUAUUAGUAGGCCUAUAUGUAUCAAAUGAGAAGCUUACUGUCAGAUCAGUGUAUAUCGUAUCCAUGAAGCAACACUCCUUACUAAAUUGCCUUAGUCUUUUGUAUAAUUUGAGUGAUAUUCAGGGCAUAUGGCUUAUUGGAAUGUUUUAUGGUCUUCUAGAAUCCUAAAUCCUUGUGUCUAUGCAACAGUUGCGUUGAGAGUCGGCUUCUCCCUUCUACCCAGUCCUACUUUUCUCACUUCUUUACAGGGUAAAGAAGUGCUCCCAAGAGCAUUUCCCAGGACGCUCUCUGCAGACAACUUUACAUCUCAAAGUCUGUCUCCAGGUAACCCAACCUAGCAUGGGAUUGUCAAUCAAAAUGACCCCUUUGGGAAGCUUUACACAAAGUUUAAUCAUUCUGCCCUUGCUCAGAACCUAUGGAGAAUUCCAUUUGAUGAUCUGUUUUUAGAACUAGAAGCACAUUUUAUGCGAGAUCUACCCCAAAGUGCCAAAUUUUUACCAUCUGGGGGUGCAGAAGUGCCUACUCAAUGUUCUUCCCUCCAACUCCAAAUCUGAUACACCAAGAACUCACUACUCUGAAUUGCUAGAACAUUUAAUGAGAAUGGUAUACUCUUGAAUGGAUACUGCCAAAUGCUGCCUAGGUUUACUAAAGGAAGAAUUGGAACUUGGUCAUAGCAACACCCAAAGCACCCUGACAUCUCAAAACAGACUUCACAGACUUCAGAAGCUUCCCUGUCGAGACCAAAACAUAUUUCGCAAAAGAAAAGCCAAGAAGCCUAUCUGGGGACAGUCAAGAGACUAGAAAAGGCAAGAGGUGUUCAGGAAGAAGAUGGUGUUUGCAGAGCCAAGGAGCUGUGCUGCUUGGAGAACAUUGGAAUGACAGGGACCUACCCAGUGGAACCUGGAGUCAUGCAGGAAACUCAGCAGCUACUGGAGUGAAUGCUCGUCCAAACAAAGAAAUGGAAAGAGAGACAGUGAUUUAUUCCCUCAACUUGCCCUUCAGUUCUCCACCGUGCCUCUGCAGUGGCCUCCUUGGGAGCCAGGAGACAAGACAGCUUUGGAAAUAUCGCUCCCUGACACACAGUAGAGGGCAGAGAAGGGCAGAGGAUGCAUCGGAGGGAAAACAGGCGAACAACUCCUACACCUUCUCUGAUGCCUUCUGAUGGAGUUAGUGUCUUCCUCCUAUGCACCCUUACAGCGCAUUAGGCAGAGAAUUAUUAGGACACUCACGCUAUCACAUAGUCACACUUUGUUUACAUAUCUGCCUCAACUUCUUUCUUUUCGUUCCUCCAGCACUAUUCUGGGAUAUUGCAAUUUUUGAGUAAAAUAUUUUUGAGUGAAUGAAUAAAUAAAUGAUUGAUUUCA